rnacentral:misc_RNA from 1 species
GGUGAAGAAGAAGAUUUCAUGGAUCUAAUGCUUUCCGUUUGUGAAGACAGAGAUCUACCUGGAGUUGAUGCCGAUACCGCUAUCAAAGCUACAUGUAUGGUACGUUACUUCUGAUCAAAUUACUCUAAAAUUGUAUGAUCACGUAUAUGGUUCCGAUUGUUGAAUUUGUCUUGUUUAGGCUCUGCUAUCGGCAGGCACAGACACAACGAUGGUAACUCUAACAUGGAUUUUAUCUCUACUACUCAACAACUAUCAAUCACUUCAAAAGGCUCAAGAUGAGCUAGACG